rnacentral:sRNA from 1 species
AAAAUAAAAUUUAACUUUUAAAACGACAGCUAAUACGAAAUGGAGGGAGUAUUUUUUUAAAAA